UAAUACGUAGGGUGCGAGCGUUGUCCGGAAUUAUUGGGCGUAAAGGGCUCGUAGGCGGUUUGUCGCGUCGGGAGUGAAAACCCAGGGCUUAACCCUGGGCUGGCUUCCGAUACGGGCAGACUAGAGGUAUGCAGGGGAGAACGGAAUUCCUGGUGUAGCGGUGAAAUGCGCAGAUAUCAGGAGGAACACCGGUGGCGAAGGCGGUUCUCUGGGCAUUACCUGACGCUGAGGAGCGAAAGUGUGGGGAGCGAACAGGAUUAGAUACCCUGGUAGUCCACACCGUAAACGUUGGGCGCUAGGUGUGGGGUCCAUUCCACGGAUUCCGUGCCGCAGCUAACGCAUUAAGCGCCCCGCCUGGGGAGUACGGCCGCAAGGCUA
rnacentral:rRNA from 1 species